GGAGGGUGGAUCUCCCGGGCGCCCGGGCCAGGCUGGGAGGGGAGCAGCGCCACGGGCAGGUCUUCCCACCCCAACUCCCAGGCAGGGGACGCGGGCCGGGCGCGGGAGCUCUGGGCGCCUUCCGCCCCGUGGGCUCACCUGGUAGAUCAUGACUUUAAAGUUGCGGCGCCGCAGCAGCUCGGCCUCGUUGACCUCCAGCUUCUUGAUCUGCCCCGCCUGGCGCUCCAGGCUGCCGCGCACGGUCUUCACGUUGACGCUGACCUUGCGCACCUUCUCCAGCAGCUUGCUCACCGUAUUGCUCGUGGUAGCGUGCGCCUUGCCCAGCUUGCUCAGCUCGCCCUGGAUGCUCUGCACUGCGCCCUCCAUCUCCGCCUGCCGCUCCUCCAGCUGUGCUUGGGUCAGCUGGAUCUGGUCUACGGCCCCGAUGAUUUUGUCCAGGAGGCUCAGCACCAGCACGCCGUUCACCUGGUCCGACUUGAUCAGCUCUUCUGAACCGGCCCCCGACGGCUCCUCCGCCGCCUGAGCCCCAGCGGAAGAAGGCUCCGGGGCCUCGGCGUCGGAGUACCCGGGAAGCGGCCGCUCGACAAUGUAGAGCGUGGGGUCCUCCAUGGCUACCCGGAGCCGUGCGGGGCCGGCCGGGUGGAGCUGGAGCUGGAGCGGGAGACCCGGAGAGAAGCAGAAGCGGAAGGGGGGAGAGCGAGCGGGAGAGAGCGGAGAGCAGAGGAAACUCGAGCCACGUCCGUGCGCACCGGGACAGCGGCCAGAACUGCUGGGCGGGGGAUCGAACUCGUGUUCAAAGAGACUGUUUCUGUUAAACCUAUUUUGUUGCACAAGAGAAGAGCCCCUUCCUUUCAACUUUCCAGUUGGAACCAAGACCAGAGCUUUCAAACAAGCCACUCUCAGUAAACGCAAAACAGGAACUGUGUGUCCCAGGCUGGUCUCAAAAUCUUGAGCUCAAGUGAUCUUCCUGACCCAGCCUCCCAAAUCGCUGGGAUUACAGGUGUGAGCCACCAUGCCUGGCCUGAAAAUAGAAUAUUUGGAAAUAAAAUGAUAAAUUCAAUAAAUGAAAUCCUCAAGAUUGGAGGAGACCCUAAACUGAAUGAAAGCAGAAAUUAACUCAUGUUACAAAUGAACAACAAGACUGUACUGAAGGAGAAGUGGUAUGGGAAUAGCAAUUAUGAAAUUAUAUUGUACAUAUUAUAGAAUUAAGCAAAUGACAUAUAAAAGAAGGUGGAAGCUAGAGUUCUCAUUGCAGGAAAAAAGUAGAUUUAAAUACAAAUUAGGGAAUACAAAGGAAUCUUAGAUGGGUGGAACUGGCGUUAGAGGCAUCAGUAUAAACCCAUAAUUUCAUAUACAUCUGUAGAGAUAAGAGCUAGAGGUUUGGCCUCUGUGUGUUGAAGGCUUAGAAGCAAUAACACAAUGUAACAAUGAGCAAGCUUGGUACCAAGAUCUUGGUUUCUAAAUAUUGUUCCUCACAACAAAGAAACAACUUAGAGAAAUGGAUGACUUUAGGGCUGGAACAGGGAAAGUAUAAGCUAAGCUUAAAAUAUCCUGUUGUGAUAGAAAUUAAGGAAGUCCCCUGCCACCCUCAACACCCCAGCAAAAUGAUGGGAAUAUGUCAAAAAACACAGGAGGAAGUUCCAUUUCCAAUUAUGGCUGAGUAAUUCCCAUCAUACCAAGUCUUCUGUAAAUAAGAACGAUAUACUGAGAGCAAAAUAUUAAAGAACAAACAAACAAAAACUACCUGAAGGCAUUAGCAAACAACAGGAGGAAUAUACUGCACAGAGGUGGAUACCUGGAAGAGAAGAGGACUGAAUGGGUUUCCCAUGUUUUACAGCUUUUAGUCUAAGGGAAGUCCAAAGUCUGCAAAGUGAGUGGUUAAAACAAAGCUGGGGGUAGUGGUGUGCGCCUGUAGUCCCACCUACUCAGAAGGCUGACGUGGGAGGAAACCCUGAGCCCAGGAGUUCAAGGCUGUAGAGCACUAAGAUUGUGCCUGUGAAUACCCACUGUAUUCCCAUCCAGGCAACACAGUAAGACCUCAUCUCUUUUUUUUUUUUUUUGAGACAGAGUUUCACUCUGCUGCUCAGGCUGGAGUACAGUGGCGUGAUCUCAGCUCACAGCAACCUCUGCCUCCCAGCAACCUCUGCUUCCCGGGUUCAAGUGAUUCUCCUGCCUCGGUCUCCUGAGUAGCUGGGACUACAGCUAUUUUUAGUAGAGACAGGGUUUCACCAUGCUUCCCGGGCUGGUCUUGAACUCCUGACCUCAGGUGAUCUGCCGGUUUCAGCCUCCCAAAGUGCUGGGAUUACAGGCGUGAACCACUGUGCCCGAGAUCUUAUCUCUUAAAACGACAACAACAUCAACAAAAACAAAACAACAAAAACCCAAACCCCGCAGUUUUAAAGCUUGAAUUGUUCAGGGCAACCCCAGCAGGUGGAAAUAAUGGGAGGAAAUCCUAUCAAAAUAAGAGCCACAGAGAGGGAGGCUCAAAUUCUGUGCAUAAACUAUAGUCCCAGCUACUCGGGAGUCCCAGUACCUGUAGUCCCAGCUACUUGGGAGGUUGAGGUGGGAGGCUCGCUUAAGCCCAGGAAGUCAAGGCUGUAGUGAGCUGUGAUGAUGCCACUGCACGCCAGCCUGGGUGACAAAGUGAGACCCUGUCUCAAAAAAAAAAAAAUAAAUAAAUUCAGAACUUUAAAAAAUCACCCUGAAAAGAAACCCCAUGCCCUUUUAUUAUUUUUUUCACUUUUUUGACUUUAUUAUUUUUUCUUUAAAACAAUAUUUAUUCUUUUUUGUUGAGACUGGGUGUCACUAUGUUGCCCAGGCUAGUCUUGAACUCCUGGGCUCAAGCCAUCCUCCUGCCUCAGCCUCCCAAAAUGCUGAGAUUACAGGUGUGAGCCACUGUGUCUGGCCAAGAAACCCCAUGCCCUUUAGCCAUCACGUUCCAUUCUCCCCAUCACCCCAGCCCUAGGCAUUAAUAAUCUACUUUUUGCCUCUAUAGAUUUGUCUACUCUAGACAUAUCAUAUAAAUGCAAUCAUAUAUGUGGUCUUUUUUGACUGACUUCUUUCACUUGGUAUGUUUUCAAGGUUUAUGUUGUAACAUGUAUCAUUACUUCAUCCCUUUUUAUUGCUGAGUAACAUCUCAUUGUGUGGCUGUACUACAUUUUCUUUAUCCAUUCAUCCAUUGUUGAACAUCUGGGUUGUUUCCAAUUUUGGGCUAUUGUGUAUAAUGCUGUUAUGAACAUUUGUGUACACGUU